rnacentral:lncRNA from 1 species
GUGAUGAUAUGUUAAUCUAUCAAAACAAUAAACAAUUCGUCUAGAUCUCAGAAACACAAGAGUCCAAUCAUGCAAACGUAAGAACUAUAAGCAAUCAAAUAGUCAACAAAACUGAAACAAAUAUCAAUUUAAGUAAACAGCAAUUUGAUUAUUCAGAGUUUAAUAACCAGUUUCUGCGAGGUUAAAGCAAAUUCUAAACGCAUGAAACAAAAUCAUCAUGCAUUCAUGCCGUAGUGAUCUCUAGAUGAUCAGUUAAUCUAUCAAAACAAUCAACAAUUCGUAGAGAUCUUAGAAACAUGAGCGUUCAAUCGAUCAACCGUAACAACUAUAAGCAAUUAAACAAUCGACAUACCGUAAGUAAAUAUCAAAAUACGUAAACAACAAUUAAAUUACCAUAAAACAGUUCCACGGCCACUCAGAACCAUCCUCUCUAGUAAUUUUAGAUCUCGAAAUCCCCCAAUAACUCGAAACCGCAACCUGAUCUUCACCUUCCUUCUUCGCAGCUCCGGCAUCCGCCUGUUUUACCGCCGGCGCCUUUGCCGCCGGCUCCGCCGCAGAGCACAUCAUCCUCCGCCACUGAAAGCUCCCGAAAUCCUGAUCCGCCACCAUUACCGACCGAUCAAACGGCCGGAAACUAAACACCACCGCUGCAGCAAACUCCGGCGACUGUACCACGUGUUCUCCGGUCAUAAUCCGGCCGCCGCUCAUCACACACCGCCUCAAAACCGAAUUCGCAAGCAACCGAUUCAUUUUGUAACCGUUUUUAGGGUUUCAGAUCGUUCUGUCUACACACUUCUUUCAGUCGGUAUUUAUUUGAAGAAACUGAACAGAAUAGUCACAAUAACUGUAUUAUUUUGAGAAUUGAUCACCUGCUUCGCGGUCUACUGUUUCAAAUUUGUUACUUUGUGGUUUUGUUAUCCUGUGGUGUCGCUCCACGGGAAGGAAAAGAAGAGGCUUUGGAGCUUGUACGGUACAAGUUGGUUAUGCGUGAUUGGAGAAAAUGGGUGAUAUGACAUACAUACCCUUGGGUUAAGAUGGAUUUACCUUUUGGAUAUUCUUGCUUUGGCCCCAAGUUUCGGGAGAUGUUUUGAGUAAGGGACACGUUGGAGGUAUUGGGAGGGUACACGUG